rnacentral:lncRNA from 1 species
GGACCAGGCUUUUCACUGCCAAUCCAUUCAGGGUUUUCCUUAAGUUUUGCUUAGAUUUAACUUUGAAUUUAGGGAAGGACAGAUAUUCAUCAGAAACAGGAAAUGAGGAGCUGUGAUUGUAGGAAGCAAUUCCCAAGGUGGUGUCUGAUGCACUGAGAUGAAAGUCCUUCACAGGUGCCCUCCUGCUCCUGAGGCCUCGCUGCCUUUGAGUUACCUGGGUGCAGCCCACUCCAAGGGCUUCAUCCUUCUCGUUUUUGUGGCAGCUCAUCUUAGGAGUUGUGGGCUGUCCUGUGCACAGGACUAUAGUUUCAAAAGCAGAGACGCUCUAUGUCCCCAUCAGAGGAAGCAGGAAGAGGAGGCACUCAGGACCAGGCCACGUCAGAGUUUCUGGUUGUGCCCUCGCUCUGCACAGUGCACAAUGGGGUCCCGUGGUGACUGUGGGUGGCCAGGCACAGUCCCCUCCACCCACAACUCUGCUCCCUGUCCUGGGAGUCAGCUGUGAGUACUGUGGGGUCCCACUCUUGAUUCGGCCCUGCAGUCUGUGCUCCACAAUCACCCUCAGGACAUGGCCAAGCCAUACCAAGAGAAGCACUGGUCAGUGCCGACCUCCUGUGAGAUAGGCCGGAGGAGGGACCUGGGCUGGACAGGCAGCCUGUGGACUGAGCUGAAAAACCAGAAGGGACUGGUGGCAGUCCCAAGGGACCAGGCCAGCCACCCAGCCCUGCAGGAACCCAGACCCCUGCACCUUCUGCCCUCUCGGACCAUGGAACUGGGUUUGUGCUGCAACCAAGGGACUAGGAGUGCUCCACAGAGGCUCACCCAGCCCUCCUCCUGUCCUUGUUUCUGUACAGCACUUAGCUCCAAGGGCAGCGACCGCACGAGGUAUGUGCUCACCCACUACAUCUGGAGCAUCGAAAGUCCAGCUGGCUUUCCAUCCACUUAUGUCUUUAGACAGUAGCAGAGGCCUAAACCUUUCUGAGAAGAAAUACAUAUAUAUAUCUUCACCCCGUGGUGCAUAAAUUGUCCUGACUUCAACCAAAAGAAUCCCUUCCUGUGGAUCCUGCAUCUUCCUGCCACAAACCUCCAGUGGCCACAGCUGUCUUGUUUGGCACCAACCAUGUCAUGGUCUCUUGCUGUGCUGAGCUUCCCUGUGCCUGGAUCUUACAGGUUCUGUGGGCUCAGCAAGGAGGGACCCUGCUGCUCCUAGCCUUGCUCCAGGCCUCCUUCAGAGCAGAUCUGGGAGACAAGCACACUUCAAAAUGGAUAUAAAGAGGACAAGCCAGAAAAGAGAGGGACCGGUCAGAAUAUUGCAAGUGAACUGGAUGUUACUCUCGACGUUAUGCCUCUAUUCCUUUUCCCUAAAAAUUCUAUUGCCAGAAUAUUUGUGUUCUUUUGUUUGUCCCCUAGUGCAGUUUCAAACUAAACACACUUGUAGUGCUGUAGAAAUGAGCCCAGAGCGAAGGCUGUGCUCUUAGGAGUCACGGGCCUUCAGAUGGUGUCUGCGGAGCACAUACCUUCAAAGCUCCGUCCCUCACAGACACCCCGGGCUUCUUUGUGCUCUGGCUCCAGAGAGUGGGCAAUGCCUGCUUCCCAGGGCUGUGGGCCAGCUUGUCGUGCAGUGAGGACAUUACUUUCCUUUGUUUUGAAUUAGCAACUACUUGGAACAUUGCAUUUUAU